CGGCACGGGUGAGUAACACGUAUCCAACCUGCCGUCUACUCUUGGACAGCCUUCUGAAAGGAAGAUUAAUACAAGAUGGCAUCAUGAGUCCGCAUGUUCACAUGAUUAAAGGUAUUCCGGUAGACGAUGGGGAUGCGUUCCAUUAGAUAGUAGGCGGGGUAACGGCCCACCUAGUCUUCGAUGGAUAGGGGUUCUGAGAGGAAGGUCCCCCACAUUGGACUGAGACACGGCCAA
rnacentral:rRNA from 1 species